rnacentral:lncRNA from 1 species
CGGGAACUUCCUCCCCUGCAGAGACCACCUCGCUCCCGGGACUCGCCAGCGAGGGAUGCCGCCGGCCGCCGGGGGCCUUCUCCAGGACCAGGAGAGAAAUCCUCUCUCCGCUUCACGACGCGGCCACUCCCACCCCUGAGACGCCCACCUGGCGGACUCUGAGGGAGGAUUCGGCUGCGUCUAAUACCACCUCCACCCCUCAUCCCUCACAAUGCGCGGAAAACCACAGGCGGCUGUGCGCGCAGCGUCGGCUCAGCCACCGCAGCUCCUCCCCUGGGAUGAAAAAGCACUCUGACGUCUUGAAAGCUGGCAGCUCUCUGUUUGGAAAAUCUCUGCCCAGUGAAAAAAUGUACCGACAAGAUUACUAAGUAACACAGUCUUCUGGGAAUGCCUUAUCAAUGCCAGCUAUUUGAAGAGCACCCAAAGUCAAACUAGUGCUCCGCGCUGGCAGUCUGGAAAAGGCAGAUGUAUAAACCAAAAAGGAUGGAGUUCAGAGACCUUCCAUGUUGAUGAACAAGAACACAUUCACCUGCUGUAGGGGUAGGUGUACCCCAAAACUCCACUGAUACAGAAGCUUCUAUACUCAAGACCCUUCUAUACUCAAGACCCUGGAUCUUACCCUAUAUAUCUCUUCAUCUGGCUAUUUAUUUGCAUCUUUUAAUAUAUCCUUUGUAAUAAACUAGUAAUCUAGAAAGCAAACUUUUCCUAGCUCUGUAGGCCAUUCUAGUAAAUGAUUAAACCUGAGGAGGAGUUAUGGGAACCUUUGAUUUGUAGACAAGUUGGACAAAAGUGGUAUAUAUCCUAAUAUAACAUGGGAACCUGCCACUUAUGAUUGGCGUGUGAAAUUGGGGGAUGGGGAAGCAGUCUUGUGGGACUGAGCCCUUAGCCUGUGGGGUCUAAUGCUAUCUUCAGGUAAUAUCAGAACUGAGUUAAAUUAUAGGAUACCAGUCAGUGUCCAUUGGAGAACUGAAUUAUUGUGAGGAGAAACCCACACAUUUGGUGGCUAAAAGUAUUGAUGUGAGUAGUAGCAUAUAGGAGUUUUUUGCUAUAUACAUAUGUAGUGUAAGUUUAAAGUAAAAAGUUUUGUAUUGUCAGGAGUGACUUCUUUGCACCUAAAUAUCACUGCUAUAACUGCGUUACUAAGGAAUAGUUGCUUGCUUUUAUGUAUUUGGCACCUGCAGCUACUGUUCUAAAAAGUUUGCAUGUGUUAACCUAUUAAUUAAAUCUACAAAUGACUGGCUGUACCCAUGAAGUGAGUUAUUCUAAAGACAAUGGAACAUUUAAAUGGUUUAGAAAUUUUUUGAUUAAAAAUACAUUAAUAAUAUCUCCUAAAGAAUGUGACUGAUUUUUUUCCAGGGCUCAAAUUUUUCAGUCUU